rnacentral:rRNA from 1 species
CGUGUAUGAAGAAGGCCUUCGGGUUGUAAAGUACUUUCAGCAGUGAGGAAGGUGGGUAUGUUAAUAGCAUAUUCAUUUGACGUUUAGCUGCAGAAGAAGCACCGGCUAACUCCGUGCCAGCAGCCGCGGUAAUACGGAGGGUGCGAGCGUUAAUCGGAAUUACUGGGCGUAAAGCGCAUGCAGGUGGUUUGUUAAGUCAGAUGUGAAAGCCCGGGGCUCAACCUCGGAAUUGCAUUUGAAACUGGCAAACUAGAGUACUGUAGAGGGGGUAGAAUUUCAGGUGUAGCGGUGAAAUGCGUAGAGAUCUGAAGGAAUACCGGUGGCGAAGGCGGCCCCCUGGACAGAUACUGACACUCAGAUGCGAAAGCGUGGGGAGCAAACCAGGAUUAGAUACCCUCGGUAG